GGAAGGGGCACGCCAUGUCCGACACUUCCUACUGUCAGGUUUCCGACAAAGGGGCGGAGACAGUCAGGGUUAGUUGUAGUAAACCUGCUAGGGGGCAGGUUAGCUUCACGGAGUGUGUCGUCAUGGUGACUCACUGAGGCUUCAUCUGAACUCGCUUUGUGAAACCGAAAACCCAGAGUUUUCGUUAACUCAGGGUAUACUUACUCAGUUUUUCCACUAAACCGGCUUCCUGAAACAGGGCCCAGGUCACAUUUCUCCAGGUUUAGUGUGACACCGGCUGUCAAGUCAAACCGAGUAGGAGGUGGAGAGCCCUGAGGAAAAAAAGUAAACGUGACAGACUGGAGGGCGGAACUAAUCUUGUGUCUGGGUUUCUGUCGGGAAGGAAAAAAAGGCGAACUGGGAGCAAAAGGAAGUUGCCACUUUCGGGAAAAGCCCAGCAAAAUUCUUUCAAUAAGUUGUCGCCAACAUGAAUAUUGUGUGGAACUGAAGUAUCUACAAAGCCAGGGAGGCAGCCGGUUUUUCACCUAUGGCUGACUAUGGCCGAAAAGAAGAUUAAAGAAAAAGGAAAACAAAA